AGUGAACGCUGGCGGUAGGCCCAACACAUGCAAGUCGAACGGCAGCACAGUAAGAGCUUGCUCUUACGGGUGGCGAGUGGCGGACGGGUGAGGAAUACAUCGGAAUCUACUUUUUCGUGGGGGAUAACGUAGGGAAACUUACGCUAAUACCGCAUACGACCUACGGGUGAAAGCAGGGGAUCUUCGGACCUUGCGCGAUUGAAUGAGCCGAUGUCGGAUUAGCUAGUUGGCGGGGUAAAGGCCCACCAAGGCGACGAUCCGUAGCUGGUCUGAGAGGAUGAUGAGCCACACUGGAAUGAAGACACGGUCCAGACUCCUACGGGAGGCAGCAGUGGGGAAUAUUGGACAAUGGUCGCAAGCCUGAUCCAGCCAUACCGCGUGGGUGAAGAAGGCCUUCGGGUUGUAAAGCCCUUUUGUUGGGAAAGAAAAGCAGCAGGUUAAUACCCCGCUGUUCUGACGGUACCCAAAGAAUAAGCACCGGCUAACUUCGUG
rnacentral:rRNA from 1 species